AUGAACGCUGGCGGCGUGCCUAAUCCCUGCAAGUCGCGCGAACGGACGAGAAGCUUGCUUUUCUGAUGUUAGCGGCGGACGGGUGAGUAACACGUGGAUAACCUACCUAUAAGACUGGGAUAACUUCGGGAAACCGGAGCUAAUAUCGGAUAAUAUUUUGAACCGCAUGGUUCAAAAGUGAAAGACGGUCUUGCUGUCACUUAUAGAUGGAUCCGCGCUGCAUUAGCUAGUUGGUAAGGUAACGGCUUACCAAGGCAACGAUGCAUAGCCGACCUGAGAGGGUGAUCGGCCACACUGGAACUGAGACACGGUCCAGACUCCUACGGGAGGCAGCAGUAGGGAAUCUUCCGCAAUGGGCGAAAGCCUGACGGAGCAACGCCGCGUGAGUGAUGAAGGUCUUCGGAUCGUAAAACUCUGUUAUUAGGGAAGAACAUAUGUGUAAGUAACUGUGCACAUCUUGACGGUACCUAAUCAGAAAGCCACGGCUAACUACGUG
rnacentral:rRNA from 1 species